ACGAACGCUGGCGGCAUGCCUAACACCUGCAAGUCGAACGAGACCUUCGGGUCUAGUGGCGCACGGGUGCGUAACGCGUGGGAACCUGCCCUUAGGUUCGGAAUAACUCCCCGAAAGGGGUGCUAAUACCGGAUAAUGUCUUCGGACCAAAGAUUUAUCGCCUUUGGAUGGGCCCGCGUUGGAUUAGCUAGUUGGUAGGGUAAAAGCCUACCAAGGCGACGAUCCAUAGCUGGUCUGAGAGGAUGAUCAGCCACACUGGGACUGAGACACGGCCCAGACUUCUACGGGAGGCAGCAGUGGGGAAUAUUGGACAAUGGGCGAAAGCCUGAUCCAGCAAUGCCGCGUGAGUGAUGAAGGCCUUAGGGUUGUAAAGCUCUUUUACCCGGGAUGAUAAUGACAGUACCGGGAGAAUAAGCUCCGGCUAACUCCGUG
rnacentral:rRNA from 1 species